rnacentral:rRNA from 1 species
GACGUAGGGCGCGAGCGUUGUCCGGAUUUACUGGGCGUAAAGAGCGCGCAGGCGGUCGUUCAAGUCGAGUGUGAAAGCCCCCGGCUCAACUGGGGAGGGUCAUUCGAUACUGAUCGACUCGAAGGCAGGAGAGGGUAGUGGAAUUCCCGGUGUAGUGGUGAAAUGCGUAGAUAUCGUCAAGAACACCGAUAGUGCAGACAGCUAACUAGCUUAACUGACGCUGAGGCACGAAAGUGUGGGGAUCAAACAGG